CUGUGCUAGACGGGAAGGUAGCGGUGUCCUGUAACCUGCAAUCCGCUAUAGCAGGGUUGAAUUCCAUCUAGAGGCUUAUAUAUUGUAGGGCUGCCCUAAAUAAGUGGUGUUGACACUUAGGUCCUGCGCAACGGAAGCUCAUAAACUCCGCCAGAUCCGGAAGGAAGCAACGGUAAGUGAAUCCUUUCGUGUGCCGCGGGGGUGCCUAAGUCGAGCUAACUGUUUAGGUAACGCCUAUGAUAGUAAGUCAAUAGAUGGUGCACAG
rfam:Clostridium sp. JC272 contig62, whole genome shotgun sequence.